GAACAGCAGUGGUGAUGUCACUAAGCUCCGCCCAUGCUCCAAGUCGGUCUGGAGCUGAAGAUACCAAAGAGGAUAGCCAAAGAACCACAGCACAGUAUGGGACCAGGUGCACCUGCAGCCUGCUGCAUGUACCACAAGUAUCCUGCCUUAAAGAUCCAAGCAAGGGUCCUGUCACGCUGGUACGGGCACACUAACAACACGGACCCCGCACAGAGGAGUCUCAUGCCAGAGCUCCGCAACUAACAGGCUCGUGAGGAUCAGCAUAUGAAACAUCUACCGGUAACCCUGCAAUGACCGCAAGACCUGAUACCAUCGGCCCCUCGCAGUAUGGGACCAGCGGCCUGAGACACGACGCACAUCACGGGUGAAACCUGCAGUUAAUCUAUUAACUGUAAUCUUCAGUCAAAAGACCAAUUCCAUUUGGAGGACAGUUUGAGCGAGAGCGAUUCCUAAUUCUUUUUUUUGUGAUUAAAAGCAAAC